rnacentral:rRNA from 1 species
CAGCAGCCGCGGUAAUACAGAGGGUGCAAGCGUUAAUCGGAUUUACUGGGCGUAAAGCGUGCGUAGGCGGCUUUUUAAGUCGGAUGUGAAAUCCCUGAGCUUAACUUAGGAAUUGCAUUCGAUACUGGGAAGCUAGAGUAUGGGAGAGGAUGGUAGAAUUCCAGGUGUAGCGGUGAAAUGCGUAGAGAUCUGGAGGAAUACCGAUGGCGAAGGCAGCCAUCUGGCCUAAUACUGACGCUGAGGUACGAAAGCAUGGGGAGCAAACAGGAUUAGAUACCCCCGUAGUCCCUGUCUCUUAUAC